rnacentral:rRNA from 1 species
GACGAACGCUGGCGGCGUGCUUAACACAUGCAAGUCGAACGGAAAGGCCCUGCUUUUGUGGGGUGCUCGAGUGGCGAACGGGUGAGUAACACGUGAGUAACCUGCCCUUGACUUUGGGAUAACUUCAGGAAACUGGGGCUAAUACCGGAUAGGAUCUCCUGCUGCAUGGUGGGGGUUGGAAAGUUUCGGCGGUUGGGGAUGGACUCGCGGCUUAUCAGCUUGUUGGUGGGGUAGUGGCUUACCAAGGCUUUGACGGGUAGCCGGCCUGAGAGGGUGACCGGCCACAUUGGGACUGAGAUACGGCCCAGACUCCUACGGGACGCAGCAGUGGGGAAUAUUGCACAAUGGGCGGAAGCCUGAUGCAGCAACGCCGCGUGCGGGAUGACGGCCUUCGGGUUGUAAACCGCUUUCGCCUGUGACGAAGCGUGAGUGACGGUAAUGGGUAAAGAAGCACCGGCUAACUACGUG